UACGUAGGGUGCAAGCGUUGUCCGGAAUUAUUGGGCGUAAAGAGCUCGUAGGCGGCUUGUCGCGUCAACUGUGAAAACCCGUGGCUCAACCAUGUGGUCUGCAGUCGAUACGGGCAGGCUAGAAUUCGGUAGGGGAGACUGGAAUUCCUGGUGUAGCGGUGGAAUGCGCAGAUAUCAGGAGGAACACCGGUGGCGAAGGCGGGUCUCUGGGCAGUAACUGACGCUGAGGAGCGAAAGCGUGGGGAGCGAACAGG
rnacentral:rRNA from 1 species